UACGAGGGGGCGAGCGUUGUUCGGAAUUAUUGGGCGUAAAGGGUGCGUAGGCGGUUUGGUAAGUCUGAUGUGAAAUCUAUGGGCUCAACUCAUAGUCUGCAUCGGAAACUGCCGGGCUUGAGUGUGGGAGAGGUGAGUGGAAUUCCUGGUGUAGCGGUGAAAUGCGUAGAUAUCAGGAGGAACACCUGUGGCGAAAGCGGCUCACUGGACCAUAACUGACGCUGAUGACACGAAAGCUAGGGGAGCAAACAGG
rnacentral:rRNA from 1 species